rnacentral:tRNA from 1 species
GCGGGUUUAGCUCAGUUGGGAGAGCGUCAGACUGAAGUCAAACUUCAAUCACAUGAUAUCUGAAGGUCGUGUGUUCGAUCCACACAAACCGCA